rnacentral:rRNA from 1 species
CUUUACUGCAACUUGACGUUGGAACUUGGCUGUAUUUGUGUAGGAUAGGUGGGAGACUUUGAAGCAGGGCCGCCAGGUCUUGCGGAGUCGUCGUUGAAAUACCACCCUGGUGCUGACGAGUUUCUAACCGUGUCCGUAAGCCGGACAUGAGACAGCGUCUGGUGGGCAGUUUGACUGGGGCGGCCGCCUCCUAAAAGGUAACGGAGACAUUCAAAGGUCCCCUCAGCGUGGUCGGUAAUCACGCGCAGAGUGCAAACGCAUAAGGGGGCUUAACUGCGAGACCGACGGGUCGAGCAGGUACGUAAGUAGGAGUUAGUGAUCCCGCGGUUUAGCGUGGAAUUGCCGUUGCUCAAUGGAUAAAAGGUA